GAUGAAGAACGUAGCGAAAUGCGAUACUUGGUGUGAAUUGCAGAAUCCCGUGAACCAUCGAGUCUUUGAACGCAAGUUGCGCCCGAAGCCUUUUGGCCGAGGGCACGUCUGCCUGGGCGUCACGCAUCGCGUCGCCCCCCACAAUUCUCCGUAAAGGGAACAUGUGUUUUGGGGGCGGAUAUUGGUCUCCCGUGCUCAUGGCGUGGUUGGCCGAAAUAGGAGUCCUUUCGAUGGACGCACGAACUAGUGGUGGUCGUAAAAACCCUCGUCUUUUGUUUCGUGCUGUUGCUCGCAAGGUAAACUCUUUAAAAACCCCAAUGUGUCGUCUCUUGACGACGCUUCGACCGCGACCCCAGGUCAGGCGGGACUACCCGCUGAGUUUAAGCAUAUCAAUAAGCGGAGGA
rnacentral:misc_RNA from 1 species